rnacentral:rRNA from 1 species
AGAGUUUGAUCCUGGCUCAGGAUGAACGCUGACAGAAUGCUUAACACAUGCAAGUCGAACGGUGAAGGGGCCUGCUUUUGUGGGUCCUGGAUGAGUGGCGAACGGGUGAGUAACACGUGAGUAACCUGCCCCCUUCUUCUGGAUAACCGCAUGAAAGUGUGGCUAAUACGGGAUAUUCUGGGUCUGUCGCAUGGUGGGUCUGGGAAAGGUUUUUUCCGGUGGGGGAUGGGCUCGCGGCCUAUCAGCUUGUUGGUGGGGUGAUGGCCUACCAAGGCGGUGACGGGUAGCCGGCCUGAGAGGGUGGACGGUCACACUGGGACUGAGACACGGCCCAGACUCCUACGGGAGGCAGCAGUGGGGAAUAUUGCACAAUGGGCGCAAGCCUGAUGCAGCGACGCCGCGUGAGGGAUGGAGGCCUUCGGGUUGUGAACCUCUUUCGCCAGUGAAGCAGGCCUGCUCCUUUUUUGUGGGUGGGUUGACGGUAGCUGGAUAAGAAGCGCCGGCUAACUACGUGCCAGCAGCCGCGGUAAUACGUAGGGCGCGAGCGUUGUCCGGAAUUAUUGGGCGUAAAGAGCUUGUAGGCGGUUGGUCGCGUCUGCUGUGAAAGGCUGGGGCUUAACCCUGGUUUUGCAGUGGGUACGGGCUAACUAGAGUGCAGUAGGGGAGACUGGAAUUCCUGGUGUAGCGGUGGAAUGCGCAGAUAUCAGGAGGAACACCGAUGGCGAAGGCAGGUCUCUGGGCUGUAACUGACGCUGAGAAGCGAAAGCAUGGGGAGCGAACAGGAUUAGAUACCCUGGUAGUCCAUGCCGUAAACGUUGGGCACUAGGUGUGGGGGACAUUCCACGUUUUCCGCGCCGUAGCUAACGCAUUAAGUGCGCCGCCUGGGGAGUACGGCCGCAAGGCUAAAACUCAAAGAAAUUGACGGGGGCCCGCACAAGCGGCGGAGCAUGCGGAUUAAUUCGAUGCAACGCGAAGAACCUUACCAAGGCUUGACAUAUACUGGACUGCGUCAGAGAUGGCGUUUCCCUUCGGGGCUGGUAUACAGGUGGUGCAUGGUUGUCGUCAGCUCGUGUCGUGAGAUGUUGGGUUAAGUCCCGCAACGAGCGCAACCCUCGUUCUAUGUUGCCAGCACGUGAUGGUGGGGACUCAUAGGAGACUGCCGGGGUCAACUCGGAGGAAGGUGGGGAUGACGUCAAAUCAUCAUGCCCCUUAUGUCUUGGGCUUCACGCAUGCUACAAUGGCCGGUACAGAGGGUUGCGAUACUGUGAGGUGGAGCGAAUCCUUUAAAGCCGGUCUCAGUUCGGAUCGGUGUCUGCAACUCGACACCGUGAAGUUGGAGUCGCUAGUAAUCGCAGAUCAGCAACGCUGCGGUGAAUACGUUCUCGGGCCUUGUACACACCGCCCGUCACGUCAUGAAAGUCGGCAACACCCGAAGCCCGUGGCCCUACGGGGAGCGGUCGAAGGUGGGGCUGGUGAUUGGGACGAAGUCGUAACAAGGUAACC